UUUUUGAGGUCGCUGUGCAUACAGGGCCCUC
rnacentral:sRNA from 1 species